rnacentral:rRNA from 1 species
GACGAACCGUGCGAACGUUAUUCGGAAUCACUGGGCUUAAAGCGCGUGUAGGCGGCCCGGCACGUCCGUCGCUGAAAUCCCCCGGCUCAACCGGGGAACUGCAUCUGAUACUGGAUGGCUUGAGAUUGGGAGAGGGAUGCGGAAUUCCAGGUGUAGCGGUGAAAUGCGUAGAUAUCUGGAGGAACACCGGUGGCGAAGGCGGCAUCCUGGACCAACACUGACGCUGAGGAGCGAAAGCCAGGGGAGCAAACGGG